rnacentral:rRNA from 1 species
AAGGAUGCCCGUGCCGGCAUCUGCGUUGGGAUNNCGGGACCCCGGUCCCGGGCGCACCAACGGCCCGUCCCACCUGCCUCGUCAGCGGGACGGAGCGAGAGCGUACACGUUGGGACCCGAAAGAUGGUGAACUAUGCCUGGGCAGGACGAGGCCAGAGGAAACUCUGGUGGAGGUCCGCAGCGAUUNUGACGUGCAAAUCGAUCGUCAGACCUUGGUAUAGGGGCGAUAGACUAAUCGAACCGUCUAGUAGCUGGUUCCCUCCGAAGUUUCCCUCAGGAUAGCUGGUGCUCGAGUGGAAUCAGUCUCAUCCGAUAAAGCGAAUGAUUAGAGGCCUUGGGGCCGAAACGACCUCAACCUAUUCUCAAACUUUCANUGGGUGAGAAGUCCGGNUUACAU